CAAGGUUAAGCAGCUAAUGUGGAGCCGUAGCGAAAGCGAGUCUGAAUAGGGCGUUGAGUAUUUGGUCGUAGACCCGAAACCAGGUGAUCUACCCAUGGCCAGGAUGAAGGUGCGGUAACACGCCCUGGAGGUCCGAACCCACUAAUGUUGAAAAAUUAGGGGAUGACUUGUGGAUCGGAGUGAAAGGCUAAUCAAGCUCGGAGAUAGCUGGUUCUCCUCGAAAGCUAUUUAGGUAGCGCCUCGGACGAAUACUACUGGGGGUAGAGCACUGUUAUGGCUAGGGGGUCAUCGCGACUUACCAAACCAUUGCAAACUCCGAAUACCAGUACGUACUAUCCGGGAGACACACGGCGGGUGCUAACGUCCGUCGUGAAAAGGGAAACAACCCAGACCCACAGCUAAGGUCCCAAAUUCACUGCUAAGUGGAAAACGAUGUGGAAAGGCAUAGACAGCCAGGAGGUUGGCUUAGAAGCAGCCACCCUUUAAAGAAAGCGUAAUAGCUCACUAGUCGAGUCGGCCUGCGCGGAAGAUGUAACGGGGCUCAAACCAUGCACCGAAGCUACGGGUAUCAUCUUCGGAUGAUGCGGUAGAGGAGCGUUCUGUAAGCCUGUGAAGGUGAGUUGAGAAGCUUGCUGGAGGUAUCAGAAGUGCGAAUGCUGACAUGAGUAACGAUAA
rnacentral:rRNA from 1 species